UACAGAGGUCCCAAGCGUUGUUCGGAUUCACUGGGCGUAAAGGGUGCGUAGGCGGUCGGGUAAGUCUGAUGUGAAAUCUCCAAGCUCAACUUGGAAAUGGCAUCGGAUACUAUUCGGCUCGAGGAAUGGAGGGGAGACUGGAAUACUUGGUGUAGCAGUGAAAUGCGUAGAUAUCAAGUGGAACACCAGUGGCGAAGGCGGCUUGCCAGAAUGCGCUCGACGGUGAGGGAUGAAAGCUGGGGGAGCAACCGG
rnacentral:rRNA from 1 species